CUGAGAAGAGGUCCCUGCCUCAAAGGGUGCUUCAGUGUCUGUCCUCUCCAAAGUCUGUCCAAGUAGGGCCGCGGGCAGUGGGACAAAGGGGUUACCUGUCUUUGCCGAGAGAUGAUGGCGAAAGAGGUUCGCCAGCGUGGAGGUUCUAGGUUAUUUCACUUCAAAUGGAUUCACAUGCUAUUCCCUGGGAUCCGUUAGAAGAUAAGAGGAACAAGAGCUCCAGAGAGGCACUUGUUGCAAAAGAAGGACCACCUGUGCAGUGCAGAGCUUUCUGACCCUCUGAGGUGGGAUGCCACUGAAACACUGGAGCAUAGUGAGUGGGGAUGAAGGGCUCUGAGGAGCUGAAUCAAAAAGACAGGUGAACUUUGAACUGAUUUCUAACUUCCUGAGUAUCAACACCUGGUAAUGACAAGGACAAUGGAGAAAUUCUUGAGAAAUUUGGAAUUCUCUGUAAAUGGAACUAAGGACUUACAUAGGUGACAGUUGAGUUGAUUCUUGAAGGACACAUAGAGUUUUCCCUGGCAUAGUGACUUGCAUUUCCAAAGGCAAAGAGACUUACAUACUCUGGAAGCAAUCAGAAAGAGGGUGAGAAGUAGCAGAAGAUCCUGAACAAACGGGUCAGAACUAGAUUGUAGAGAGUGUCACAUGUCAUGGUAAGUAGUGAGCAUUCGAUAAGGCUAUUACAAAUUUUAAAAAAAAGAUAUUAAGUGAUCCUUUAAUAUUUACUCCAGUCACAAAAAAGAAGAGGCAACCAUUUAUUUUCUAUGCAGUGAGCAGAUUUAUGUAGAGAUAAUACUCCUAAGAGGAAGGAGAGAAUCUGUUUAUAGUCAAUGGUAGGAGCAAUUAUUACCACAGAAUAUAUACCUCGCUCAUAACAGACAAGAAACAGAGGCUGUGUUAAAUAGCAGAAUAGAAGGAUGGAUAGAAAUAUUCUUGUCUUGGACAUAAUUCAUUUCCAAAGCUUUAAAAUUACUAGUGGGUACUUAAAUAACAUGAUGAGCAAGGAAGCUGUGUUAUGAAGCUAAGCAAGUCACAUAUCAGGAGUGUGGAAAUCAGUCUCAUAUCAAUUCAGUGCCUCCUUGACAUUUUCAUCAUGGGCUUCCAGCUGCGGGACUUGGCAAUGCUGCCUCUCCUGCACAUCAUGAACCGUGUUCUCAUUGCAAUGAACAAACCAUGCUAAUUCACUGCAUCUGAAUUCCACCUUUAGUUUCAGACUUGCUCCUCUGCUAAAAAGAUUUAUAAUAAUCAUUUUCACAUACUAAUGCUUCUGGAUUAUAAAAAUCUACAUAAAAAUAAUCCAGAAAACAUUUUAACUUGAUUAUGAUUCAAUUAUUAUUUAAUCAAAUUAAUCUGUGGCCUAACAGUUAUCCUUGCUGCUUGCUAGCAGUUCCUAAAUGCAUGCUCAACUGUCAUCUACUUGCAAUGUAUAUGCCAACUAUGGUAGAACUUGACAUCUGACACUUUCAUUUGACAUUAUGCCAUAUCUGGUCCAUGUUGUUCAUGUCAUUGUUUUCUUAUUUUUUUUCUUGUACUCAUUUCUUCCUCCUCCCCCAAAUACUAACUAAAUAUAUUUUCUCAUUGUCUCAUAAAAAGAAAUCACCAUCCAUACAGUUCUCUGAUAUUUGCCGUUAUUUUUAAAUAAUUCUGUGGUAAUCUGGCAGCUCAGUAGAUUUAAUUCAUUCCAGAUAGUCCAGACAAGUUUGAUUUUAUCACUGCUAAGUCAAGCUUGUUUAUUAAUGGACAUUCAUCG